AUUGAACGCUGGCGGCAGGCCUAACACAUGCAAGUCGAACGAGUGGCGGACGGGUGAGUAAUGUCUGGGAAACUGCCUGAUGGAGGGGGAUAACUACUGGAAACGGUAGCUAAUACCGCAUACCAUCAGAUGUGCCCAGAUGGGAUUAGCUAGUAGGUGAGGUAACGGCUCACCUAGGCGACGAUACCUCGCUGGUCUGAGAGGAUGACCAGCCACACUGGAACUGAGACACGGUCCAGACGCCUACGGGAGGCAGCAGUGGGUAAUAUUGCACAAUGGGCGCAAGCAUGAUGCAGCCAUGCCGCGUGUAUGAAGAAGGCCUUCGGGGUGUAAAGUACUUGCAGCGGGGAGGCGUUACCCGCAGAAGAAGCACCGGCUAACUCCGUGCCAGCCGCCGCGGUAAUUC
rnacentral:rRNA from 1 species